AAUCUUUCCUCCGGUCAUUGGUUAAACCAGAAGACCUCAAAUGGUUUUGGGGAAGGAAGUUUUCUGGUAGAACCAAUGAGGGCAGAUCUCAUUUGCAUGAAAGGAGAAAGCAGGGGCAUUUAAGGAAAGGAAGGGAGAAGAUCUGAAGAAGGUUAUAAUUUCUUUCCCUAAAAGAAUAUUCCUUGCCAAAGUUGACCAUGGGUUGGGCUGUGAUUUUCUUAGCACUCCUCACUUACUGCACAGGCAUCGAUGGUCAGUCCACUUGGACUCAGCCUCCCUCCAGCUCCGUGUCCCCAGGUGGAGCCAUCACACUCUCCUGCACAACUCAGAGUACCAAUUGGAUUGCUUGGUAUCAACAGAAACCAGGAAAAGGCCCUCGUUUCAUCCACUGUGAUAGCUGCAGUAACAGGGGAGAAGGGAUCCCAAACCGAUUCACUGCCACCCGAUCUGGGACUACAGGAUCUUUGACCAUCAGCAAUGCAGAAGCCGGAGACGAGGCAGAUUAUUACUGUGGUAGCUGGAACAGUGCAUUUACCAUGUUGCACAGUGGUGAAUUCUUAUGGGGAAGUGUGACAAAAACCUCCUCUCUGCCUCUUCAGACUGAAACCACAUGCAACAUACCUUGAUCUGUGACUGGGGACACAUGAGCUGAUGAUGCAGGAUAGAAACUUCCUGCAAAUUCAUCACCUUCUGCAGAGAAAUCUCUCAAUGCCC